rnacentral:tRNA from 1 species
GCCCCAUUCGUCUAGUGGCCUAGGACGCCGCCCUCUCAAGGCGGAAACAGGAGUUCGAGUCUCCUAUGGGGUAUCA